AUUGAACGCUGGCGGCAGGCUUAACACAUGCAAGUCGAACGAGUGGCGGACGGGUGAGUAAUGUCUGGGGAUCUGCCUGAUAGAGGGGGAUAACUACUGGAAACGGUGGCUAAUACCGCAUACUAUCAGAUGAACCCAUAUGGGAUUAGCUAGUCGGUGGGGUAAAGGCUCACCUAGGCGACGAUCCCUAGCUGGUCUGAGAGGAUGAUCAGCCACACUGGGACUGAGACACGGUCCAGACUCCUACGGGAGGCAGCAGUGGGGAAUAUUGCACAAUGGGCGCAAGCCUGAUGCAGCCAUGCCGCGUGUAUGAAGAAGGCCUUAGGGUUGUAAAGUACUUUCAGCGGGGAGGCGUUACCCGCAGAAGAAGCACCGGCUAACUCCGUGCCAGCAGCCGCGGUAAUUC
rnacentral:rRNA from 1 species